UACGUAGGGGGCAAGCGUUGUCCGGAUUUACUGGGCGUAAAGAGCGUGUAGGCGGCCAAACAGGUCCGUUGUGAAAACUGGAGGCUCAACCUCCAGACGGCGACGGAAACCGUGUGGCUAGAGUCUGGAAGAGGAGAGUGGAAUUCCUGGUGUAGCGGUGAAAUGCGCAGAUAUCAGGAAGAACACCAAUGGCGAAGGCAGCUCUCUGGGACGGUACUGACGCUGAGACGCGAAAGCGUGGGGAGCGAACAGG
rnacentral:rRNA from 1 species